GACGAACGCUGGCGGCGUGCUUAACACAUGCAAGUCGAACGGAAAGGCCCUGCUUUUGUGGGGUGCUCGAGUGGCGAACGGGUGAGUAACACGUGAGUAACCUGCCCUUGACUUUGGGAUAACUUCAGGAAACUGGGGCUAAUACCGGAUAGGAGCUCCUGCUGCAUGGUGGGGGUUGGAAAGUUUCGGCGGUUGGGGAUGGACUCGCGGCUUAUCAGCUUGUUGGUGGGGUAGUGGCUUACCAAGGCUUUGACGGGUAGCCGGCCUGAGGGUGACCGGCCACAUUGGGACUGAGAUACGGCCCAGACUCCUACGGGAGGCAGCAGUGGGGAAUAUUGCACAAUGGGCGGAAGCCUGAUGCAGCAGCGCCGCGUGCGGGAUGACGGCCUUCGGGUUGUAAACCGCUUUCGCCUGUGACGAAGCGUGAGUGACGGUAAUGGGUAAAGAAGCACCGGCUAACUACGUG
rnacentral:rRNA from 1 species